GGAGGGUGCGAGCGUUAAUCGGAAUUACUGGGCGUAAAGGGCGCGUAGGCGGUUUGGUAAGUCGGGUGUGAAAGCCCCGGGCUCAACCUGGGAAUUGCAUUCGAUACUGCCUGGCUAGAGUAUGGUAGAGGGAAGCGGAAUUCCGGGUGUAGCGGUGAAAUGCGUAGAUAUCCGGAGGAACACCAGUGGCGAAGGCGGCUUCCUGGACCAAUACUGACGCUGAGGCGCGAAAGCGUGGGGAUCAAACAGGAUUAGAUACCCUGGUAGUCCACGCCCUAAACGAUGAGAACUAGCCGUUGGAGGAGCUUUGUCCUUUAGUGGCGCAGCUAACGCGAUAAGUUCUCCGCCUGGGGAGUACGGCCGCAAGGUUA
rnacentral:rRNA from 1 species